rnacentral:rRNA from 1 species
GACGAACGCUGGCGGCGCGCCUAACACAUGCAAGUCGAACGGAGCUGAGAGAAGCUUGCUUUUCUUAGCUUAGUGGCGAACGGGUGAGUAACGCGUGAGUAACCUGCCCUGGAGUGGGGGACAACAGUUGGAAACGACUGCUAAUACCGCAUAAGCCCACGAUCCGGCAUCGGAUUGAGGGAAAAGGAUUUAUUCGCUUCAGGAUGGACUCGCGUCCAAUUAGCUAGUUGGUGAGGUAACGGCCCACCAAGGCGACGAUUGGUAGCCGGACUGGGAGGUUGAACGGCCACAUUGGGACUGAGACACGGCCCAGACUCCUACGGGAGGCAGCAGUGGGGGAUAUUGCACAAUGGGGGAAACCCUGAUGCAGCGACGCCGCGUGGAGGAAGAAGGUUUUCGGAUUGUAAACUCCUGUCGUUAGGGACGAUAAUGACGGUACCUAACAAGAAAGCACCGGCUAACUACGU